CGGCAAUGGCGGAAGCUACCAUGCAGUCGAGCGGUAGCACAAGGAGCUUGCUCUCGGGUGACGAGCGGCGGAGGGUGAGUAAUGUCUGGGAAACUGCCUGAUGGAGGGGGAUAACUACUGGAAACGGUGGCUAAUACCGCACAACGUCGCACGACCAAAGAGGGGGACCUUCGGGCCUCUUGCCAUCACAUGUGCCCAGAUGGGAUUAGCUAGUAGGUGGGGUAACGGCUCACCUAGGCGACAAUACCUAGCUGGUCUGAGAGGAUGACCAGCCACACUGGAACUGAGACACGGUCCAGACUCCUACGGGAGGCAGCAGUGGGGAAUAUUGCACAAUGGGCGCAAGCCUGAUGCACCCAUGCCGCGUGUAUGAAAAAAGCCUUCGGGUUGUAAAGUACUUUCAGCGGGGAGGAAGGUGUUGAGGUUAAUAACCUCAGCAAUUGACGUUACCCGCACAAAAAACACCGGCUAACUCCGUGCCAGCAGCCGCGGUAAUACGGAGGGUGCAAGCGUUAAUCGGAAUUACUGGGCGUAAAGCGCACGCAGGCGGUCUGUCAAGUCGGAUGUGAAAUCCCCGGGCUCAACCUGGGAACUGCAUUCUAAACUGGCAGGCUAGAGUCUUGUAGAGGGGGGUAGAAUUCCAGGUGUAGCGGUGAAAUGCGUAUAGAUCUGGAGGAAUACCGGUGGCGAAAGCGGCCCCCUGGACAAAGACUGACGCUCAGGUGCGAAAGCGUGUGGAGCAAACAGGAUUAGAUACCCUGGUAGUCCACGCCGUAUACGAUGUCUACUUGUAGGUUGUGCCCUUGAGGCGUGGCUUCCGGAGCUAACGCGUUAAGUCUACCGCCUGGGGAGUACGGCCGCAAGGUUAAAACUCACAUGAAUUGACGGGGGCCCGCACAAGCGGUGGAGCAUGUGGUUUAAUUCUAUGCACGCGAGAACCUUACCUACUCUUGACAUCCAGAGAACUUUCAGAGAUGGAUUGGUGCCUUCGGGAACUCUGAGACAGUGCUGCAUGGCUGUCGUCAGCUCUGUGUGAAUGUGGUAAGUCCCGCACGAGCGCAACCCUAUCCUUGUUGUCACGUUCGCCGGGAACUCAAGGA
rnacentral:rRNA from 1 species